rnacentral:lncRNA from 1 species
GAAAUCAGAUUGCUCCUAGAGCUGUGCUGGUGACCGUGUAAACGCUUGGAUCCUUGCCUGCAUUGUGGAGUUCACAGCCUACACUGGACAUGUGGAUGUUGAGUGAUAGAGGAUGGACAGCAAAAAAAACUCCAAACCCGCUGGACCAAGGCACCUGCCCACGAGUGGAUCCUAAAGGACUUGCAUCAGCCGUGAGUUUGGGAACUCAGUGUCUUCCUGCUCAGGUUUGAGGAGGGUGUUCUGUGCAAGUCAGCCUGUGACUUCUCGUCUCCUUUGCACCCCACACACCCACUUGCUCGGCUUUCUGAAGAACAGAGCCCCAUCCUGUGAUCACCACCCUCCACCAGGCACUCUGGGAGCCAGCAUGAUCCUCAGGCUUCACACGCAGUUUUCCCGGCUGAACCCCAGUCCAUGCUGCCACCGCCCGGCCGCCGAGCAAGAGGGAGACACUGGAGCAUCUUUGGGGC